GCCUACAUUUGAUAUUGCAAGCUCGAUCAUAUUAACAAAAGCAGGAUAAAUAGGUUAGCACAAAAAGGUAUCCUCAAUAUCAAUGAUUGUGAAUCAUUGUCGAUCUGUGAGUCUUGUUUUCUUAAAAAGAUGACUAAGUUACUUUUUACUAAAAAAGAUGAACGAGCUAGUGAAGUUCUAGGUCUAAUACAUAGUAAUAUUUAUGGAUCUAUAAAUAUUAGUGCCAG
rnacentral:lncRNA from 1 species